rnacentral:rRNA from 1 species
AGCGGAGGAAAAGAAACCAACAGGGAUUGCCCCAGUAACGGCGAGUGAAGCGGCAAGAGCUCAAAUUUGAAAGCUGGCCCCCUCGGGGUCCGCAUUGUAAUUUGCAGAGGAUGCUUCGGGAGUGGCCCCCAUCUAAGUGCUCUGGAACGGGCCGUCAUAGAGGGUGAGAAUCCCGUAUGGGAUGGGGUGUCCGCGACCAUGUGAAGCUCCUUCAACGAGUCGAGUUGUUUGGGAAUGCAGCUCUAAAUGGGUGGUAAAUUUCAUCUAAAGCUAAAUAUUGGCCGGAGACCGAUAGCGCACAAGUAGAGUGAUCGAAAGAUGAAAAGCACUUUGAAAAGAGAGUUAAAAAGCACGUGAAAUUGUUGAAAGGGAAGCGCUUGCGACCAGACUCGCCUGCGGGGUUCAGCCGGUAUUCGUACCGGUGUACUUCCCCGUGGGCGGGCCAGCGUCGGUUUGGGCGGCCGGUCAAAGGCCCUCGGAAUGUAACGCCUCUCGGGGCGUCUUAUAGCCGAGGGUGCCAUGCGGCCAGCCCGGACCGAGGAACGCGCUUCGGCACGGACGCUGGCAUAAUGGUCGUAAGCGACCCGUCUUGAAACACGGACCAAGGAGUCUAACAUCUACGCGAGUGUUCGGGUGUCAAACCCGUGCGCGCAGUGAAAGCGAACGGAGGUGGGAACCCUCACGGGUGCACCAUCGACCGAUCCUGAUGUCUUCGGAUGGAUUUGAGUAAGAGCGUAGCUGUUGGGACCCGAAAGAUGGUGAACUAUGCCUGAAUAGGGCGAAGCCAGAGGAAACUCUGGUGGAGGCUCGCAGCGGUUCUGACGUGCAAAUCGAUCGUCAAAUUUGGGUAUAGGGGCGAAAGACUAAUCGAACCAUCUAGUAGCUGGUC